rnacentral:lncRNA from 1 species
AGAGAGAGAAUGGUCUGUUACUGUGGGAGACCGACACACUCACCAGGAGGUCCAUUUGCAUGGGCUGUAAUUUGAUUCUUGGUUGCCAAGACCACGAGGCGUGCCGAGAGGUGCGAGCGGUGCUAACGACAGCCGUGUCUGCAAGCCUCCAAAGUAUCCUCCAGAGUUCUGCUAAAUGCCAAAAGGCCACAUUAGCAUUUUAAAAAGCGACAUAAAAAAAAUAUGACUUUCCCCUCACUGAGUAGCCACUGAUAAAGGAUAAUUUAUCUGGACUGUGCUUCAUACAAAACAAUAAAGCACAAAAUAAAAAAUGACACGGUCGUAACAAGGGGGAGAUUAACUUUAUGGAAAUGAGCGCCAUUGUUGCAGAGAAGUCUUUUUUUUACAUAAGUGAAUUGAAAUGAUAAAAAAUCAAGCUAACAAAAAUACUAAAAUAUUACUUUUCACUUAAUUUAAGCAGAAAGCCGCAGGUAGUGGGCGACCCUAUGCCGCCCCACUUCUUGUGUAAAGUUUUCACUUUGAACUAAAACAAGGGAGUUGAGCCCUGAGCUGCCUUGGGCUGGCCUUUUGGGCUAGGUGUGUCUUUGCAUUAAUCCCGCCCACUCGAUUGACCCUGCUGCCCUGGAGCUGGCAAGGAAGUGAAAGUCACUUCCAACCUUAUGUUACAGCCACCAGAAACAAACAGGGAAGACGAAGCCAACAAGCAUCAUUCUCGGUUCUUAAAUCUAAAUCAACUCAUCUCCAAAAGAGAAAAAGAAGCAACAAAAAGACUGCUCAUGACCAAUCCAGAAACCGGAUAAAUAUUGGAAUACAUUUUGGAAGGUGGAAGAGUGAAGCUGAAAUGAACACCGUUCUCAUGGACUGGUAAUGUUAGGACAAUACUGGUGGACACUGAUUUUGAGGGAACCUGAGGCUGUACAAGUGGUGGUUUUGCAAACCCCAACACUGAAAGAGAAUGCAUUUUUUGUUAUGCUUUGUGAUUCAAUAAUUAUUUUGUUGGUAAUUGGCCAAAAUAUACUGAACAAAAUACAAACUCAACAUGUAAAGUGUUGGUCCCAUGUUUCAUGAGCAGAAAUAAAAUAUCCCAGAA